GUUCGGCUGCGCGAGCGGAGGGAGGCGGGACUCAAGAGUAGCCUUCCUCGAGGACCUGCCUUUCCCAUUUGCUGCCUGAAGUUAAUGUUUCUUGCUGGCCAAAUCAGGGACAUGCCGGCAUUUUCCCUCUUAUGCUUUUCAUCUCCAUCCCCAGCCCCACCCACAGCCAGGGGGCUUGGGUUCUGAGCUGAUGGGGUACCCCCCUCUGCAGAGCGGGAUGAGUGGGUGUUCCGGCAGGGAUGUGGUCAUUGACGGCCAGUGAGGGCGAGAGUACCACGGCCCACUUCUUCCUUGGAGCUGGAGAUGAGGGGCUGGGCACCCGUGGAAUAGGCAUGAGGCCAGAAGAGAGUGACAGCGAGCUCCUUGAGGAUGAGGAGGAUGAAGUGCCUCCUGAACCUCAGAUCAUUGUUGGCAUCUGUGCCAUGACCAAGAAAUCCAAGUCCAAGCCAAUGACUCAAAUCCUAGAGCGACUCUGCAGAUUUGACUACCUGACUGUUGUCAUUCUGGGAGAAGAUGUAAUCCUUAAUGAACCUGUGGAAAACUGGCCAUCCUGCCACUGCCUCAUCUCUUUCCACUCCAAAGGCUUUCCUCUGGACAAAGCUGUUGCUUACUCCAAGCUUCGAAACCCCUUUCUUAUCAAUGAUCUGGCCAUGCAGUAUUACAUCCAAGAUAGGAGGGAGGUGUACCGGAUCCUGCAGGAAGAGGGUAUUGAUCUGCCUCGAUAUGCUGUGCUCAACCGUGAUCCUGCCCGGCCUGAGGAAUGCAACCUGAUAGAAGGUGAAGACCAAGUAGAGGUCAAUGGAGCUGUCUUUCCCAAGCCCUUUGUGGAGAAGCCAGUGAGUGCAGAAGACCACAAUGUUUACAUCUACUACCCCAGCUCAGCUGGAGGAGGAAGCCAGCGUCUCUUUCGUAAGAUUGGCAGCCGAAGCAGUGUUUACUCUCCUGAGAGCAGCGUCCGAAAGACGGGGUCGUACAUCUAUGAGGAGUUUAUGCCAACAGAUGGCACAGAUGUCAAGGUGUAUACAGUGGGGCCAGAUUAUGCCCAUGCUGAAGCUAGAAAAUCUCCAGCUUUGGAUGGGAAGGUUGAACGAGACAGUGAGGGGAAAGAGAUUCAAUAUCCAGUCAUGCUGACUGCCAUGGAAAAGCUGGUGGCCAGGAAAGUCUGCGUAGCUUUCAAGCAAACAGUUUGUGGAUUUGACCUUCUUCGUGCCAAUGGUCAUUCCUUUGUGUGUGAUGUCAAUGGCUUUAGUUUUGUCAAGAACUCGAUGAAAUACUACGAUGACUGUGCCAAGAUUCUGGGGAACACCAUAAUGCGGGAGCUUGCCCCACAGUUCCAGAUUCCAUGGUCCAUCCCCACGGAGGCUGAGGACAUUCCCAUUGUUCCCACCACAUCUGGCACUAUGAUGGAACUUCGUUGUGUCAUUGCAAUUAUUCGUCAUGGGGAUCGUACUCCCAAGCAGAAGAUGAAGAUGGAAGUGAAACACCCAAGGUUUUUUGCUCUGUUUGAAAAACAUGGUGGCUACAAGACAGGGAAAUUAAAACUCAAGCGACCUGAGCAGCUCCAGGAGGUGCUGGAUAUCACAAGGCUGUUGUUGGCUGAACUGGAGAAAGAACCAGGUGGUGAGAUCGAGGAGAAGACUGGAAAACUAGAGCAGCUGAAGUCUGUACUGGAGAUGUAUGGUCACUUCUCAGGUAUAAACCGGAAGGUACAAUUGACUUACUACCCUCAUGGAGUAAAAGCUUCUAAUGAGGGGCAAGAUCCACAGAGGGAAACUCUGGCCCCAUCUCUGUUGCUGGUACUGAAGUGGGGUGGAGAACUGACUCCUGCUGGCCGUGUUCAGGCUGAGGAGCUGGGGCGAGCUUUUCGCUGCAUGUACCCUGGAGGACAGGGUGACUAUGCUGGCUUCCCUGGUUGUGGGCUGCUUCGUCUCCAUAGCACUUUCCGCCACGAUCUCAAGAUCUAUGCCUCUGAUGAGGGUCGUGUUCAGAUGACUGCUGCUGCCUUCGCCAAGGGCCUUCUGGCUCUAGAAGGGGAGCUGACACCCAUUUUGGUGCAAAUGGUGAAGAGUGCCAACAUGAAUGGGCUACUGGACAGCGAUGGGGAUUCCUUGAGCAGCUGCCAGCACCGGGUGAAGGCUCGGCUGCACCAUAUUCUACAGCAGGAUGCGCCCUUUGGCCCUGAGGACUACGAUCAGCUGGCUCCCACCAGAAGUACUUCCCUGCUCAACUCCAUGACUAUCAUCCAGAAUCCUGUGAAGGUCUGUGAUCAGGUAUUUGCCCUGAUCGAAAACCUCACCCACCAGAUCCGGGAACGAAUGCAGGACCCCAGGUCUGUAGACCUGCAGCUCUACCACAGUGAGACACUAGAGCUAAUGCUACAGCGUUGGAGCAAGCUGGAGCGUGACUUUCGACAGAAGAGUGGGCGCUAUGAUAUCAGUAAGAUCCCUGACAUCUAUGACUGUGUCAAGUAUGAUGUGCAGCACAAUGGGAGUCUGGGACUUCAAGGCACAGCAGAGUUGCUCCGUCUCUCUAAGGCACUGGCUGAUGUGGUCAUUCCCCAGGAGUACGGGAUCAGUCGGGAGGAGAAACUGGAAAUUGCUGUGGGCUUCUGUCUUCCACUGUUGCGGAAGAUACUACUUGACCUGCAGAGAACCCACGAGGAUGAGUCUGUCAACAAGCUGCAUCCCCUGUACUCCCGAGGCGUGCUCUCCCCAGGUCGCCACGUUCGAACGCGUCUCUAUUUCACCAGUGAGAGCCAUGUCCACUCCCUGCUCAGUGUCUUCCGUUAUGGAGGACUUCUUGAUGAGACCCAGGAUGCACAAUGGCAGCGAGCUUUGGAUUAUCUUAGUGCCAUCUCAGAGCUUAACUACAUGACCCAGAUUGUCAUCAUGCUUUAUGAGGACAACACACAGGAUCCCUUAUCAGAGGAACGGUUCCAUGUGGAGCUACACUUCAGCCCCGGAGUGAAAGGUGUUGAGGAAGAAGGCAGUGCCCCGGCUGGCUGUGGAUUCCGUCCAGCCUCUUCUGAGAAUGAGGAGAUGAAAACCAACCAAGGCAGUAUGGAGAACCUGUGUCCAGGAAAGGCAUCAGAUGAACCAGACCGGGCAUUGCAGACUUCACCCCAGCCUCCUGAGGGCCCUGGCCUUCCGAGGAGAUCACCCCUCAUUCGUAACCGAAAAGCUGGUUCCAUGGAGGUACUUUCUGAGACUUCAUCCUCGAGGCCUGGUGGCUACCGGCUCUUUUCAUCUUCACGGCCACCCACAGAAAUGAAGCAGAGUGGCCUAGGCUCACAGUGCACAGGGCUGUUCAGCACCACAGUGCUGGGUGGCUCCUCCAGUGCCCCGAAUCUUCAGGACUACGCCCGCAGCCAUGGCAAAAAGCUACCACCUGCCAGUCUGAAGCACCGAGAUGAGCUCUUGUUUGUCCCGGCCGUAAAACGAUUUUCUGUGUCGUUUGCAAAGCAUCCGACUAACGGUACUCUUUUCGUUUGGACAGAGGUAUCUGCCGGUACUGAGAUGUAAGUGAUCAGCUGAAGGGAGAAACUGUACACCAUGUGACGGACAAAUUGCCUGCCUCAAGAAAGCACUUAGGACCAUUCUGCAGCCACUCAGUGACCUUGGCUAGAAACCAAUGGCUGUGCGGCGUGAGACAUGGCCGCUUACCAACAAGAAGAGCAGAUGCAGCUUCCCCGAGCUGAUGCCAUUCGUUCACGUCUCAUCGAUACUUUCUCUCUCAUUGAGCAUUUGCAAGGCUUGAGCCAAGCUGUGCCGCGGCACACUAUCAGGGAGUUACUUGAUCCUUCCCGCCAGAAGAAACUUGUAUUGGGAGAUCAACACCAGCUAGUGCGUUUCUCUAUAAAGCCUCAGCGUAUAGAACAGAUUUCACAUGCCCAGAGGCUGUUGAGCAGGCUUCAUGUGCGCUGCAGUCAGAGGCCACCUCUUUCUUUGUGGGCCGGAUGGGUCCUUGAGUGUCCUCUCUUCAAAAACUUCAUCAUCUUCCUGGUCUUUUUGAAUACGAUCAUAUUGAUGGUUGAAAUAGAAUUGCUGGAAUCCACAAAUACCAAACUAUGGCCAUUGAAGCUGACCUUGGAGGUGGCAGCUUGGUUUAUCUUGCUUAUUUUCAUCCUGGAGAUCCUUCUUAAGUGGCUAUCCAACUUUUCUGUUUUCUGGAAGAGUGCCUGGAAUGUCUUUGACUUUGUUGUUACCAUGUUGUCCCUGCUUCCCGAGGUUGUGGUAUUGGUAGGGGUAACAGGCCAAUCGGUGUGGCUUCAGCUUCUGAGGAUCUGCCGGGUGCUGAGGUCUCUCAAACUCCUUGCACAAUUCCGUCAAAUUCAAAUUAUUAUUUUGGUCCUGGUCAGGGCCCUCAAGAGCAUGACCUUCCUCUUGAUGUUGCUGCUCAUCUUCUUCUACAUUUUUGCUGUGACUGGUGUCUACGUCUUCUCAGAGUACACCCGUUCACCUCGUCAGGACCUGGAGUACCAUGUGUUCUUCUCGGACCUCCCGAAUUCCCUGGUAACAGUGUUCAUUCUCUUCACCUUGGAUCAUUGGUAUGCACUGCUUCAGGACGUCUGGAAGGUGCCUGAAGUCAGUCGCAUCUUCAGCAGCAUCUAUUUCAUCCUUUGGUUGUUGCUUGGCUCCAUUAUCUUUCGAAGUAUCAUAGUAGCCAUGAUGGGAGAAAAAACAUGUCACAUGAAGCACUGACGUCAAGCCAUAGCAAAAUAGAGGACAGUUCAAGAGGAGCUAGUCAACAAAGGGAAAGUUUGGACUUAUCAGAAGUGUCUGAAGUAGAGUCUAAUUAUGGUGCCACUGAAGAGGAUUUAAUAACAUCUGCAUCAAAAACAGAAGAGACCUUGUCAAAAAAGAGAGAGUACCAGUCUUCCUCCUGUGUCUCCUCCACAUCCUCUUCCUAUUCUUCCUCUUCUGAAUCCAGAUUUUCUGAAUCUAUUGGUCGUUUGGACUGGGAGACUCUUGUGCACGAAAAUCUGCCCGGGCUAAUGGAAAUGGAUCAGGAUGACCGUGUUUGGCCCAGAGACUCACUCUUCCGAUAUUUUGAGUUGCUAGAAAAGCUUCAGUAUAACCUAGAGGAACGUAAGAAGUUACAAGAGUUUGCAGUGCAGGCACUGAUGAACUUGGAAGACAAGUAAAGCAAUGGAUGGCUUCAAUAUCCUUGGGCCCAGCAAAAGAUAAUGAAGGGAAUUGUUGGAAAUAGAGAAUUGAAAAUAUAAACAUUCAGAUAGAACAAUGUCUGUUCAUUAAAAUUAAAAAGUAUAAGUGUCUAGGCCA